rnacentral:misc_RNA from 1 species
AUGAUCUCUCUCCAUUCAAUGGUUCCAUCUAUGGAGCAAAGGAAAGUUUUCAAAAGGCCACCUCAGGGUUGCCGCAAAAUCAUUCUUUCCACUAAUAUUGCAGAAAGUGCCAUUACAAUUGAUGAUGUUGUCUAUGUCAUAGAUAGUGGUCGAAUGAAAGAAAAAAGUUAUGAUCCUUAUAACAAUGUAUCAACCCUUCAGUCUUCUUGGGUAUCCAAAGCAAGUUCAAGGCAGCGUGAGGGACGUGCAGGCCGCUGUCAGCCUGGGAUAUGCUAUCAUCUCUUUUCGAAGCUUCGGGCAGCUUCUUUGCCGGAUUUUCAAGUUCCUGAAAUUAGGCGAAUGCCAAUUGAAGAUCUCUGUUUGCAAGUGAAGUUGAUCGAUCCCAAUUGCAAGAUAGAAGAUUUCCUGCGGAAGACACUGGAUCCUCCAGUUCCUGAAACCAUACAUAACGCAAUCACUGUUCUCCAGGAUAUUGGGGCUUUAUCACUAGAUGAACAAUUGACAGAACUAGGAGAGAAGCUAGGCUGCCUACCUGUUCAUCCAUUGACAAGCAAGAUGCUUUUCUUUGCAAUAUUGAUGAAUUGCCUCGACCCAGCUUUGACAUUGGCUUGUGCCUCCGACUAUAGAGAUCCAUUUACCCUUCCUGUGUUGCCUAAUGAAAAGAAGAGAGCUACUGCUGCUAAAUUUGAUUUUGCUUCACUGUAUGGUGGGCACAGUGAUCAGCUAGCAGUUAUAGCAGCCUUUGAGUGCUGGAAAAAUGCUAAAGGAAGGGGCCAAGAAGCAUGGUUUUGUUCUCAGUACUUUAUCUCUUCGAGCACCAUGAAUAUGCUGCAUGGUAUGCGUAAGCAGCUUGAGUCGGAACUAAUUCGUAAUGGGUUCAUUCAGGAAGAUGUCUCAUGCUGUAAUCUGAAUGCACAUGACCCUGGAAUAAUCCGUGCUGUGCUUGUUGCUGGUAUGUAUCCUAUGGUGGGGAGAUUCCUUCCACCUAGAAAUGGGAAGCGUUUUCAUGUAGAAACCGCAACUGGUGCUAAAGUUCGGUUGCACCCUCAUUCCCUUAUUUUUAAAUUAUCAUUUAAAAAAACUGAUGACUGCCCUUUGAUUGUAUAUGACGAGAUAACCCGUGGGAAUGGGGGUAUGCAUAUAAGGAACUGUACUGUUGUUGGGCCACUCCCAUUGUUAUUACUUGCAACAGAGAUCGUAGUUGCUCCUCCGAAGGAUGACAAUGAGGAAGAUGAUGAGGGUGAUGAUGAUGACAAUAAUGGAAGUGACGAUGCAGGUGAAGAUGAAAGUGAUGAGGAUGAGAUGGAAACAGAUGGCAAAUUGGGUGGAAACAAUUAUGAGAAAAUCAUGUCAUCUCCUGAUAAUUCAGUUACAGCAGUUGUGGACCGCUGGCUUUAUUUUGGGUCAACAGCCCUUGAUGUUGCUCAGAUUUACUGCUUGCGAGAGCGAUUAUCAGCAGCAGUCUUAUUCAAAGUAAAACAUCCUCGGGAAGUACUUCCUCCUGCCCUUGAGGCCUCAAUGCAUGCAGCUGCUUGUGUUCUCUCUUAUGAUGGGCUAUCCGGGAUAUCAUUACCUUUAGAGUCUGUAGACUCGCUGACAUCAAUGAUCCGUGCGACUGGGAUUAACAACUCUGCUCCAGGGAGGAGGAUGGGGCCAGGCCAGAAUUCAAAUGACUUCCUUAAAUCACUGAUUAGCCCUAACAUUCAGCAUACUGGUCCUUCGCAUUAUCACAAAGCUAGAUUUACAGGAUUCCAGAGGAAAUCAAACGGAAAUGAACUGUCAAGCCAAGAUUUUAUACCACCUGGUAAGAUCCCUUAUCAAAGGCCUCCAAUGCAGGGUCCCAAUUCAGUUGGUUACGAUUCAGGUACUCAUGAAUCUUCGAAUCCUAGGGGUGAUUCAUCUAAGCGGCAGCGUGGAAAUGCAUCCAAGAAGCAGUGGUUUAACUUUUAGAUUAAAUUGUAUAUUGUACACAGGAAAAUCCAGCUGCCUGCUGCCUUUUGCCUUUGCUGGAAUGGACCUAAAAUGGCUAGACUUUUCGAUCUCAUUAAUGACACAAGUUCAUCGAAAACUUGAAGCUUGAUGACUUCGAUUGCACUUGCUCUUAGUUUAGACAAUGAUCAGUUGGAAAUGUUUUACAUGAAAAACGUUUUUGAAAUUAGUGCCUAGAUAAAAUCACUGCUAGAGAUUUCUUCUCUUUUUCAUUGACAAUAAUUUUUACAUUGUGUUGGAUUCCAUUCUUCAUGAAAAAUCAGGUAUUUUCCUGGGUUGUAAAAGAACGGCAGGUUUGCAGUUAACUGUAAACUUAUUAGCAAA